UAUUUCUCACUUCUAUUUUGACAUGUGCUGUGAGGAUUAUGGACAGGAAGCUCUGUGGUUAUUUUAUACACUCUAUUCUCAUCAUUUCAUCUCAGCCAGCUCAUUCCAGUUCCAGCACACCUGCAUGUAAGUGCUUCCAGAAUGAAUUUCUCAGUGAAGAAGCAGGCUAGGAAAGCACCCUUGCAAUGGAAGAACACAGGACAAGUAGCCCAUGGAAAAUCCAGUCAAUAAUUUUGCAAGAGAUACCACUCAUGUUAUUUGUGACACUGAAUACAGCAGAGGAAAAAAACCAAAAGGUUAAAAAUGGAUAUAAAGAUGAAACAGCCGUGUGGUUUUGGGCCAUUUUAUACCUUCAGAGCCAAAGUGAGCCAGGUUAUACUGAAUUGAACUUGUGCAGAAAGUCUGGGAAGGCCUGCCAAGUUUUGUGAUAACAUCCUAAUAAACACAAGAAACAAGAUCCUAACAGGCUUUGGAGUUUUCUUCCUGACCUGGAGAACCGAGAUAAACGGAGCUCCCCGUGAAGGAGAAUCCCAAAGGAGCUCGGCUCUGAAGAGACUGAGAAAUCUGCUUUGAGAAGUGCAGCAUCAAAACAGAGAAAAGCUUCAAGUGCUCUUCCUCUUCCCUUCGGUUUCCACCGGUUUUCUGUUUUCUCAUUGCCAGCCCUCGUUUUCCCAGGGUUAUUGCUUCAGCUCCAAAGUUACCACCAGCAGCACAGCUCUCAGAAGCAGCACCUGCAUUUCAUGUCCCUCUCUCAGAGGCAGCUGUGACAGCAGAGACACCUGCACAGGAAGGGGUGUGGAGAGCCCCAGGUCACAGCAGAGAAGCACCUGUGCCUCAUCCUUCCCUUCCAGAGCAGGCACAGGAGAAAUGGACUGGUAAAAACAGAAGACACCAGUGGCACAGAGUAGAGACAGCCUGCAGGGAGGAGCUGAGCACAUGACCUUCCAAGAAUUAGCUCCUGUACCUGAGGCACAUGUUCUGCUCCUGAGGGAAUGCCACUGGCUGCCAAAAUAACAGCACUGUUCAGCCCUUUUGUCCCUGUAGUACCUAUGCAGAUUCUCCUUUUCAAACGACACUGAGGCCAGGAGCCUGAAGACCAGACUUCCAGAGCACUACUUCAGUUCUGUAAAUGAGAACAGGUCUCCUGGGAUUGAUUUCUUCCCGGAUCACAGUGUUAAUUUGCAUAAUAUACAUAGCUGCAAAAAUUAAAUGUAUGUAAUCCAGAUUUUGACUUAUUAAAGACCCCACAGAAAUGUUUUAUGACACAAUUGAAACUGAA